GCAUAUCAAUAAGCGGAGGAAAGGAAAUUAACGAAGAUUUCCUUAGUAACGGCGAGUGAAAAGGAAAUAGUCCAGCGCUGAAUCCCUUAGCCAUCGGUUAAGGGACCUGUAGCGUGAAGGAGAGCCUAUCCGGCCGGUUCGAGACUUUGGAAGCUCCCUCGAAUGGGAACCCAGAGCGGGUGCGAGGCCCGUAACGAGGUCGCGCCGAUCGGUUAGCGCCUCCGUAGAGUCGGGUUACUUGAGAGUGUAGCCCAAAGCGGAAGGUAAACCCCUUCUAAGACUAAAUACGACCGUGAGACCGAUAGCGAACAAGUACCGCGAGGGAAAGUUGAAAAGAACUUUGAAGAGAGAGUUCAAAAGGGCGUGAAACCGCUUAGAAGAAAACGGACGGAACCGUCUGAGGCCCUCGGGAAUCAGUGGAACGACGCGCGAACGCGUUCAGGGUUUUCGGAGCGUAAAAGUCCGUCUCUGAGCGUCUAGUAGUCGUGUUCGUUUGGCGCAUUUCUCGAGGGUUAGCGUCGCGACCGAUGCGAAAGGCCGGUGAGGCCGCCAGGUUGAGGUCGAAACCCCUCGCGGGUAUUCGCUACCAGCUUGACGGUAACUAAUCGCUGGACCGUAGUAGGCAUCGAGCGUCAAGAUCGAAUGUCGGCGUAAUAGCGCUCAUCGAUCAGCGGAGAGUUGUCCUAUUUGUCGACGCCUGCUCGCAGGCGAUCGAUUAAUUCUUGGGCGAUUUCAAAGUUGACGAUGACGUACCGGCAUUUUGGCGUCGGCGACGUCCGAGUCGGUCACCCGUCCGACCCGUCUUGAAACACGGACC
rnacentral:rRNA from 1 species